UCUUUUUAAUUUUAUUUAUGGUGACGAGUCCGAUUGAAUCCAUUCUUGCAGAAUAGUGACGACAAGGAGGCAUUUGUCUGGGAGAA
rnacentral:snoRNA from 1 species